rnacentral:rRNA from 1 species
GAUGAACGCUGGCGGCGUGCUUAACACAUGCAAGUCGAACGGUGAAGGCGGAGCUUGCUCUGCUGGAUCAGUGGCGAACGGGUGAGUAACACGUGAGCAAUCUGCCCCUGACCCUGGGAUAAGCGCUGGAAACGGCGUCUAAUACUGGAUACGAGCUGCGAAGGCAUCUUCAGCAGCUGGAAAGAAUUUCGGUCAGGGAUGAGCUCGCGGCCUAUCAGCUUGUUGGUGAGGUAAUGGCUCACCAAGGCGUCGACGGGUAGCCGGCCUGAGAGGGUGACCGGCCACACUGGGACUGAGACACGGCCCAGACUCCUACGGGAGGCAGCAGUGGGGAAUAUUGCACAAUGGGCGAAAGCCUGAUGCAGCAACGCCGCGUGAGGGACGACGGCCUUCGGGUUGUAAACCUCUUUUAGCAGGGAAGAAGCGAAAGUGACGGUACCUGCAGAAAAAGCGCCGGCUAACUACGUG